GGUGACAUAGCCAAUUAGGAAAGGCAAAAGUAUAGCAUAAACUUAGAGUGUUGGUUCGAAUCCAACUGUCACCU
rnacentral:tRNA from 3 species